rnacentral:sRNA from 1 species
UGAAGAACAGUGCCACCACAUUCUGGUC